GGGGAUAGCUCGGGGAAACUCGAAUUAAUACCGCAUACGACCUACGGGUGAAAGGGGGCGCAAGCUCUUGCUAUUAGAUGAGCCUAAAUCAGAUUAGCUAGUUGGUGGGGUAAAGGCCCACCAAGGCGACGAUCUGUAACUGGUCUGAGAGGAUGAUCAGUCACACCGGAACUGAGACACGGUCCGG
rnacentral:rRNA from 1 species